rnacentral:tRNA from 3 species
UGAAUUUUUUAUUGUGAUUAAAAAAGUUUUUGGCUAA